AUCAUACUUCCUUCGUCCGAAAAUACUUGUCAUCAAAAUGGAGAAAAGGGUUUUGAUGACAAGUAUUUCCGGACGGAGGGAGUAAUAA
rnacentral:pre_miRNA from 1 species